rnacentral:rRNA from 1 species
AGAGUUUGAUCCUGGCUCAGAACGAACGCUGGCGGCAGGCUUAACACAUGCAAGUCGAGCGCGUAGCAAUACGAGCGGCAGACGGGUGAGUAACGCGUGGGAACGUACCCCUCGGUUCGGAAUAACUCAGGGAAACUUGAGCUAAUACCGAAUACGGCCGAGAGGCGAAAGAUUUAUCGCCGAGGGAUCGGCCCGCGUCCGAUUAGCUAGUUGGUGAGGUAACGGCUCACCAAGGCGACGAUCGGUAGCUGGUCUGAGAGGAUGAUCAGCCACAUUGGGACUGAGACACGGCCCAAACUCCUACGGGAGGCAGCAGUGGGGAAUAUUGGACAAUGGGCGAAAGCCUGAUCCAGCCAUGCCGCGUGAGUGAUGAAGGCCUUAGGGUUGUAAAGCUCUUUCGUCAGGGACGAUAAUGACGGUACCUGAAGAAGAAGCCCCGGCUAACUUCGUGCCAGCAGCCGCGGUAAUACGAAGGGGGCUAGCGUUGUUCGGAAUCACUGGGCGUAAAGCGCAUGUAGGCGGGUCUUUAAGUCAGGGGUGAAUGCCAAGGCUCAACCUUGGAACUGCCUUUGAUACUGGAGACCUUGAGUCCGGGAGAGGUGAGUGGAACUGCGAGUGUAGAGGUGAAAUUCGUAGAUAUUCGCAAGAACACCAGUGGCGAAGGCGGCUCCUGGCCCGGUACUGACGCUGAGAUGCGAAAGCGUGGGGAGCAAACAGGAUUAGAUACCCUAGUAGUCC